GCCAGCAGCCAUAUCAGCCUGCAACUCACACCUGGUAACCCACUGAAGCUCACCAGGUGUGAGCCUAGUCAGUACCUGGAUGGGAGGCCUCCUGGGAAAAGCUAAGUUUGUUGCUGUAA
rnacentral:rRNA from 1 species